rnacentral:misc_RNA from 1 species
GAUGAAGAACGCAGCGAAAUGCGAUACUUGGUGUGAAUUGCAGAAUCCCGUGAACCAUCGAGUCUUUGAACGCAAGUUGCGCCCGAAGCCAUUAGGCCGAGGGCACGCCUGCCUGGGUGUCACACGUCGUUGCCCCCCCAUCUACUCCUUCGGGAUUGCGGGGGGCGGAUGAUGGCCUCCCGUGCGCCUCGUCGCGCGGUUGGCAUAAAUGCCAAGUCCUCAGCGACGCACGCCACGACAAUCGGUGGUUGCGAAACCUCGGUUGCCCGUCGUGUGCGGUCGUCGCGCAUCGAGGGCUCGAAAAAAUUGCCGGGCUCCGGCUCGGCUUUCAACGCGACCCCAGGUCAGGCGGGGUUACCCGCUGAAUUUAAGCAUAUCAAUAAGCGGAGGA